rnacentral:rRNA from 1 species
GUUGCUCACAACCGAUCCACACGCCUUGAGGGUGGCCGUUGCUCACGGCUGCCUGCGCGGAUGCCGUGUACACCCUUUGUUUGUGCCCCGCUUUUGAAUGUUUUUAAUGC